UUUUGCAGAAUCAUAGAAUUAUCUGAGUGGGAAGACUCCUCAAAGUUCAUUGAGUUCCAGUGCUCCACUAUGAGCAGGUGAGUUAAUUGUGGUUACAUUGCUCGCCUAACCAUUUUGCUCCCUAAGGCAAAGAAAACAAGUACAUUUUGGAACGAAGUAGUACUUGGCAUCCAACAAAAACUUUACAUCUGUUCCUUUUAAGCUCAUUCUAAAGAUCGCCUGUGCCUUUACAACACAAGGAGGGAGAGAAAGAGUCCUUCAUUUAGCUCAUUUUUCAGCUGCAUAAGUCAGUUUGACUUGUAAUGAUAUUGUUAUUGAAAAGGAAAACCAAUCUUUGGUUUGUGCUGAUGAGAAAUUAUAUUUUGCUACAUUUUCCACAUGAUUUUUUCCCUAGGUUAUGCAGAACUAAUAGAAUUUAAGUAGAAGUCAAUUAUUUUGCAGUGUACUUCCAUUAUUUUGGAAUAAAUACUUUUGCUGAAAAAAGAAUCUGUAUAAUUUGAGAUAAUUUUUUUCCCAGUAGAUGAAUGAAAAUUCUUAAUGGUAUAUGAGACUGCAACUAAAAUAUUACAGGAGACUAUGUUCAUUCAUAAAGCUGUUUAAAUUUGUAUGUGCAAUGAUCACGAUAGAUUAUAUGGGAAGAGCAGAGACUGUAUGGAAUUUUCUGAACAAGCUCAGAUCACAAAGAUGUCAUGACUUGAGAGCCCAAGAAAAUCAGUACUGUAAGAAGAACUCAAGGAAUAAUGUAUUAUUACAGUAGCAAGUACAUUCAAAUGAAAUUGGUGUUUGGUACAGCCACACACCUUCACAGAGCUGUAUGAACAAAGGCUGAUUAUGUCUCAGCAGCCCGGAGGAAACAAGCACUUCCCUGAAAGGAAGUUCUUAAAACCACCCUACAUGCUUCAUGUGUCCUUUUACAAACUGUUGGUAGAUUUCAGCUAUUUUGCUUGUUAGUUUAAUCAUAUAGGAAUAUUACCAUAUUCUGAAUUUUCAGGAUAAUUUCCUAUAUAAUUAUCCUUCCUUGGUUCAAAAAUCAAAUAUUUUUCUUAUAUCCUCUAUACAAAAGUACCUAAUAUACUUUUUUUUUUUUUGCUUAUCUAAGCAGUUCAUUAUCUCAAGAUAAUUGUUCAUAAGCAAACCUUAAUUUCCUCAUUUUUCAAGCCAUUGCUCAGCAUUGGAUUUAAAAAAGAGAUACCAGCUGAUAUCCAUCUUCUGUACUUUGUUCAGUUUCCUUCUCUAAAAAAAAAGUGAACUCUGUAACACAUCCAAUUUUAUACAAAUCUGAACAGGCAAGUUUGCAAAAAGUCUGUAAGCACUUGAAUGUUUUCAUUACCUGUUGGGAAAAAAAAUUCUCAGUGAACGCCACUACCUUUCUAUUGUCUGAUUUCAAAGGAUGUGUCAAGCGUUGUUACACAAUACAACAAUAAACUAAUUUUCUAUUCUUCGUGGCAA